rnacentral:rRNA from 1 species
AUUGAACGCUGGCGGCAGGCCUAACACAUGCAAGUCGAACGGUAACAGGAAGAAGCUUGCUUCUUUGCUGACGAGUGGCGGACGGGUGAGUAAUGUCUGGGAAACUGCCUGAUGGAGGGGGAUAACUACUGGAAACGGUAGCUAAUACCGCAUAACGUCGCAAGACCAAAGAGGGGGACCUUCGGGCCUCUUGCCAUCGGAUGUGCCCAGAUGGGAUUAGCUAGUAGGUGGGGUAACGGCUCACCUAGGCGACGAUCCCUAGCUGGUCUGAGAGGAUGACCAGCCACACUGGAACUGAGACGCGGUCCAGACUCCUACGGGAGGCAGCAGUGGGGAAUAUUGCACAAUGGGCGCAAGCCUGAUGCAGCCAUGCCGCGUGUAUGAAGAAGGCCUUCGGGUUGUAAAGUACUUUCAGCGGGGAGGAAGGGAGUAAAGUUAAUACCUUUGCUCAUUGACGUUACCCGCAGAAGAAGCACCGGCUAACUCCGU